rnacentral:precursor_RNA from 8 species
CGGAUGUUGUUGUUGCGCGGGACCCUUCGAUAGGUAGUCGCUCUGGGUUACUGUCGGGUCGUUAUACCCUUUGCAAGUGGCUCAGGGGGACCCCCUAUCCAAGGGCUGCUUGAUCGCUACGUGUGUGGA